UGUGAAGAAGCAUUUGUUAAGCACUAGCUCGAAAGGUAUGGGUGCUGCCGUAUAAGCUGUCUGCAGUCCUUAGCCUUUGGCUCAUCAAGUAAUGAACAGACUUCAUCUUACCAAGUUUAAGAGACUUGAGAGGAGUACAUAUGUUCUGUUUUCAUGCUGUCAUCUUGAAAUCUCUCUGAUCCUGGUGAUAGUAGUGGAUUAAUGGAGGUGAAGAAUAUUCUCAGUUUUUAAAGGAAAGACCUCUGAGUGAUCACCUAGAUCCCUCCUUUUUCUGCCUUUGGUUCCUCCCGCAAACAUCCCAUAGCAAGUCUUGUGCAAUCCCCAAAUACUCUUCCCCUGCACACCGCAAUGUGUCCCGCACCACCAGGCAGUGACCCGCUCAGUCCGAGAGGUGAUUGGGAUUGCUGCUCCCCGUUGGCUCACCGUGAGAGUUUUCCCACCUGGACUGUGAGGCUGACGCUCUCCUGGACAGCCCUGGCUCAAACAGGGUGGUCAUUCCUCCAAGCAGGUUUAGAGCCUGAGCUUGAAAGUUGUCAUCUAAUGAUUCAUAAGGAAAUUGAGCAAUCACAAAGGCAUUCCGUAAAGGAAAGAUCAUGGUAACAUUCUGACUUCUGGUUGGCAUUGACAAUUCUUCUUUCUGAGGCAUUUGAAGAACCUACCAGUGACAGGUCACGAAGACUGGCCUGAGAUUUACAACGUCUUGCAUUGUGAGGACAACAGGAAAAACUUCACUCAGAAAAUGUAUGGAGUGUACUGAACGAGCAAAAUAAGUAGAUGCAGACAAUUCCCGCAAGAGUGUAAUGUUUUGUUUGACAGUGCAAGGAGCUGUAAUGUGUAAGCCAUACAGUAACAUAUGAUUGCCUCAAAAUGAAUUAACGCCUGGGUUUGGGUGUCUCUUUUGUUAGGAUUCACAGAUUAAUAUCCAACUGAAAUUAUUGCAUGAGUACAGAAAACGGGACAUGCUGGUCUG